UAUUGAUUGAUAUUGUAGUAGAUUCCUCUAUAAUUUUGUUUCUCCAUACUUGAUUAUCUUGUGCACGCAUUUGAGGGAACAUUGAGAGAAAUUACGAGGGGUUGAUGAGUAAUCAAAUUGAUUCCGAAUUGUGAAAUGAUUUCUUUUGUAAAUUGAUUUCAUUUCCUCUAUUUUAAAGACUUGUGAGUCGUAGCUUGAUUAUACUCCUUUAUGAGUAAUGAAAUUGGAUCUGAAUUGUGAAAUGAUUUCUUUUGUAAAUUGAUUUCAUUUCCUCUAUUUCAAAGACUUGUACAGCCCUUCUCAUGGUAUAUUGAGUUGCAUUGUACUCCCGUGAUUCCUCACUCCCAACCCUGAUGUUAGUUUAUGAUUGGGUCAUGAUCGAGUGAGUGGUAAUCUUGAUUAUACUCCUUUUUAGUAGAGUAUUGGGAGGGUGCAUUAUGGCAUUUAUGCAUGGCUUGGCAGUAUCUGCAGGACACCUAUAGUCGAUGGGGGUUGAACAUCGGCCUUUGUGCACAUAGUAGCCUUCUGGGUGGGCGGAGCCCAGUCCCUUCCUAGGGGGGGACACGGCCCUNN
rnacentral:lncRNA from 1 species